UACGAAGGGGGCUAGCGUUGUUCGGAUUUACUGGGCGUAAAGCGCACGUAGGCGGAUCGUUAAGUCGGGGGUGAAAUCCUGGAGCUCAACUCCAGAACUGCCUUCGAUACUGGCGAUCUCGAGUCCGGAAGAGGUGAGUGGAACUCCUAGUGUAGAGGUGGAAUUCGUAGAUAUUAGGAAGAACACCAGUGGCGAAGGCGGCUCACUGGUCUGUAACUGACGCUGAGGAGCGAAAGCGUGGGGAGCAAACAGG
rnacentral:rRNA from 1 species